rnacentral:tRNA from 1 species
GCAAGAUGGCCGAGUGGUCUAAGGCGUAGCAUUAAGGAAGAUAUUCCGAGUAUUCGGAAAGCCCCUGCUAUCUUCGGGCGUGGGUUCGAAUCCCACUCUUGUCAC